GGACGAACGCUGGCGGCGUGCUUAACACAUGCAAGUCGAACGGGAGUAUUGAAGAAGCUUGCUUUAGAGAUACUUUAGUGGCGGACGGGUGAGUAACGCGUGAGGAGCUGUCCUAUGCAGGGGGACAACAGCUGGAAACGGCUGCUAAUACCCCAUAAGCCGAGAGGUAAAAGGAUCAAUCCGGCAGAGGAGGUACUCGCGUCCUAUCAGCUAGUAGGUGAGGUAACGGCUCACCUAGGCGAAGACGGGUAGCCGGCCUGAGAGGGCGAACGGCCACACUGGAACUGAGAUACGGUCCAGACUCCUACGGGAGGCAGCAGUGGGGAAUAUUGGGCAAUGGGGGAAACCCUGACCCAGCAACGCCGCGUGGGUGAAGAAAUCCUUCGGGAUGUAAAGCCCUGUUGUAUGGGAAGAGCGGAAGACGGUACCAUACGAGGAAGCCCCGGCAAACUACGUGCCAGCAGCCGCGGUAAUACGGAGGAGGCGAGCGUUGUUCGGAAUCAUUGGGCGUAAAGGGCUUGUAGGCGGACGGGUGUGUCCGGCGUGAAAUCUCCACUGCUUACCAGGGAGGGUGCGCUGGAAACUGCUUGUCUGGAGUAUGACAGAGGGUCGCGGAAUUCCGGGUGUAGCGGUGGAAUGCGUAGAUAUCCGGAGGAACACCGGUGGCGAAGGCGGCGGCCUGGGUCAAUACUGACGCUGAGGAGCGAAAGCUAGGGUAGCAAACAGGCUUAGAUACCCUGGUAGUCCUAGCUGUAAACGGUGGAUACUAGGUGUGGGAGGUAUUGACCCCUUCUGCGCCGGAGCUAACGUAUUAAGUAUCCCGCCUGGGAAGUACGGCCGCAAGGUUGAAACUCAAAGGAAUUGACGGGGGCCCGCACAAGCGGUGGAGCAUGUGGUUUAAUUCGACGCAACGCGAAGAACCUUACCCGGGCUCGAACGGCUGUUCACAUGGGUAGAAAUAUCCUGUUCUCUUCGGAGGAGUACAGUCGAGGUGCUGCAUGGCUGUCGUCAGCUCGUGUCGUGAGAUGUUGGGUUAAGUCCCGCAACGAGCGCAACCCUUACUAAUAGUUACCAUCGGUUCAAGCCGGGGACUCUAUUGGGACUGCCUGCGACAAGCAGGAGGAAGGUGGGGACGACGUCAAGUCAUCAUGGCCCUUACGUCCGGGGCUACACACGUGCUACAAUGGUCGGCACAAAGAGAAGCAAAGUCGCGAGACGGAGCCAAUCUGGAAAAUCCGACCCCAGUUCGGAUAGGAGUCUGCAAUUCGACUCCUUGAAGUCGGAAUCGCUAGUAAUCGCAGAUCAGAAUGCUGCGGUGAAUACGUUCCCGGGCCU
rnacentral:rRNA from 1 species